rnacentral:rRNA from 1 species
UACAGAGGUCUCAAGCGUUUGUUCGGAUUCAUUGGGCGUAAAGGGGUGCGUAGGCGGCGCGGUAAGUCGGGGUGUGAAAUCUCGGGGCUUAACUCCGAAACUGCAUUCGAUACUGCCCGUGCUUUGAGGGACUGGAGAGGGAGACUGGAAUUUUACGGUGUAGCGGGUGAAAAUGCGUAGAUAUCGUUAAAGGGAAAGACCAGUGGCGAAGGC